AUGUCACAGAGGCCGUCUGGUGUGAUGGGAAGAGCUCUAGGGAUCACAGAAUCCAAGUGGGAAUGGAUUGUAGAGGUCAUCCAGUCCAACUCCUCCUUUUACAGGACAGACACACAAAUCCCUGUUUGGCUGGGAGACUCCCAGUGGACACUGGCUUGUCCAGGGCAGAAGGGAAACUCUGCAAACCUCUGGAUCUUCUGCCCUGUCCGGUUAACGAGACACUUAUUCUACAUUAAAUACCAAUUGGGCCAAUUUUCCGCUGUAAUUAAAACCUCUGCAGACAUGUUUCCUGCUCAUUGGUGAUGAGUUUAUUAACCUUCGGUCCCAAUGGGGAUAGAGGAGGAGGUGAGAGGGAAGAAGGAGAUUUGCCUUGGGAUUGCCAGGCUGGAUCCUUCUGCUUUGGAUCUGAAAGACCCUUCCAAGGCUGAGACAGGAGAGGCCAUGCCAGGACUUCCAGCCAGGGGCCUGGUAGAAUGUUUAGAAGUCCUGGGGGAGGGAAUCUGGGACCUAGUCAUUCUGAUGAUUCCCUUCCACUUGAUAAUGAAGGCUUAGGAUCUUGGAUUUGUAGCUGGAAGGGACCUUUAAUGGUAUCUAGUCUGACCCCAUCAUUUUACAGAUGAACUGACUCCCAAGUCAAGUCAAUAAGGAUUCAUUAAGCAAUGUGCCAGGCAUUGUGCUAAAUACCAGGAACAAACAAACAUACACACACACACAGAAAGAAAGACAGUCCCUGACCUCAAGGAACUUACAUUCUAAUGAGGGGGAAAAAAACAUUAAAAAAUGAAGCCAAGGGGCAGCUGGGUAGCUCAGUGGAUUGAGAGGCAGGCCUAGAUUUGGGAGGUCCUGGGUUCAAAUAUGGCCUUCGACCCUUCCUAUCUGUGUGACCCUGGGCAAGUCACUUAACCCCCAUUGCCUAGCCCUUUCCAUUCUUAUGCCUUGGAACCAAUAUAUUGUGUUGAUUCUAAGGCGGAAGGUAAGGGUUUAAAAAAAAAUGAAGCAAAAAAGGGGGUUGGAGGGAAAGGUGAGGAAAUGGAGGAGAGAGGCAGAGUUUCCUGUAGGGACAGGAUAGAGUUAGUCCAGUGCAAACUGGAGAGGAAUGAAGACAUGGCUGGCCUGGCUGUUAUCUUUAAAAUGGAGGUUCUGGAAGAUACCAGCCUAUCAGAGGAAGAGAUUACAGUGGCAGAGGGAUGCGUUCUUCCAGUGUAGAAGUCCAGGGUUGAANGGGUGAGUGAGGUUCCGGUAUGGUAGAGAAAUUCUAGAGGAGGGCAGCCUGGGGAAGAAUCACGUUUUUAAAUAAAUAAAAUGUUACUAAAAGGUAAAACGGUGGA
rnacentral:lncRNA from 1 species